rnacentral:rRNA from 1 species
GAUCCUACGGGGGGCAGCAGUGAGGAAUAUUGGUCAAUGGACGGAAGUCUGAACCAGCCAUGCCGCGUGCAGGAUGACGGCUCUAUGAGUUGUAAACUGCUUUUGUACGAGAAUAAUAGUUCUUACGUGUAGGGAUUUGAAUGUAUCGUACGAAUAAGGAUCGGCUAACUCCGUGCCAGCAGCCGCGGUAAUACGGAGGAUGCGAGCGUUAUCCGGAUUUAUUGGGUUUAAAGGGUGCGCAGGCGGCACGGCAAGCCGGCGGUCAAAUCGCGGGGCUCAACCCCGCCCAGCCGUCGGAACUGCCG